GCCUAUUGCAACGGUAUUUUUAUUGCCGUUGCAAUAGAGUAGGCUAUUGCUACGGAGUUAAAACUAAUGCUCUUAGAGGUAGAGCUAUUGCCACGGCUCUAAAGAACCGUUGCAAUAGCCUAGCUAUUUUAACAAAAAUAAAAGCUAUUGCAACGGUGGUAUUGUAUCAAAUGAAAAUUUUAGCUUAGAUAUAAAGAGCACAUUAUUGUUCCCUCUAAUUUUUCACCAAAAUAUUGAACAAACACACGUGAUGUAUGUUUACCCCAAUUUUCUCACCCAUUUUCGUUCUCCACUCAUUCUCACAGACUCCAUUUUCUCAAUUUCUCACCCAAUCUCCAUUUUCUCAAUUUCCCCCAAUUCUCUAUUUUCCCCAUCAUCUCACAUUCAACUCCAGAAAUUCACAGUACCUAUUCUCAGAAAAUCACGAAAAAAAACAGUCAAAAAUUCGAAGAGGAAAAAGACGAAGGUGGUGGCUGAUAGCGGCAGUCAAGCGGUGGUGGUGGCAGUUAAGCGGUACAGACGGUCCAAUUUCAUUGUUGCAUGUCCCUUCCUUGAGCUGAUUGCUCGAAAUUCUCUUCAAGUCUCUAUCUCUGGAACCAGACCAGGCAACGUUGGGUAGAUAAUAAAAAUCAAAGUAAUAAAGGGCAACAAGUUCGUGCUCCAAACUUAAGGUUGGUUGGCUAUAUUAUUUUGAAUCUGUUCAAAUUACUAGCUCUUCAUUUGCAAAUUCUAUGGUAAUUUGUUCUGGUUUUCGUUGAUGUAUCUGAGUAAUUGAUUAUGUUUCCCGUCCUAAGUUAGUGAAGGUGUGCCUAUUCUACAUUUGUUGAAUUUUAAAGGGUAAACAACGAAUUUUCGUUUUUGAGAAUUAAAUUUGAAGUUUUUGCUUUUGUGUUUGGGAUGAAGUUGAAUAUUGAUUUGGGGUGGCUGAUUUGGUUCAUUCAUACAUUAGAGAUCCAAGUUUAUUACUUUUUUCUAAUUGCUAUAGCCAUUGUUCAAGCUCAUGUGCGUGCUUGACCUAAACGAACAAAUGAAUGUAAUCAAGCUAAUUAAUCCACUUUGAUAUCUCUUAUCUUGGACAGUAAGGAACUCUAAUUUAAUAUUAAUAGGUUGCAUAAUGAAGCUAUAUUUAGUUAAUCAGAUGACAAAAUAGCAUGAUAAAUUGAAUGUCAUUUACCCAAUACUGAUUGUGCUUCUUUUGUCUCACUGUUUUUUAUUUGUUCCUGAUGGUGGACAUUUGUUCAUCAGUGAUCAGAGCAGUUUUGAAUCUAUCCUAAGAGCACUUCUGUUUGAAUAUUUUCCAUCCUACAUGCCUUUAACUUGUAUGCAAAUUGUCAUUGGUCUGGACUUUGUAAUAAUUGGGAAUAACAUUUUUAAUUAUUUAUACCCCCUUUUGGUGUGGUAUUUAAUCUACUUUUUACAUUUCGCAUGUGAAUGUUUUGAAAUGCUGAUGUUGGGUUUGUAUGAAGUUUUAACUACUGAGAAGAUUUGUCAGUUGCCAUAGGUGUGUAUUUAAAUGUGGUAUACCAGGAGGUUAAGGGGGCAUGCAUGUCAUUAUUUUUUUUGACAUUUUAUAUUAAUUUGGAAUUCCUUGUUUUUUGUUUUUCAAUCUAUUUUUAAACGUUAUAAUGCCAAAAGAAGAAUGCACAACUUUACAGAAAGCUGGAUUACUAUUACACAGAAGCAAGGCAAAUUCAGGUAGUUAAUUAAUCAUGUAGAAGUGAAGAAAGGUGUGGAAAUUUUAUGGGUAAUUUCUUGCAUCUAACAUCUAUUCAUUUUUGUUCUAAAGACAUAUUUUAUUUAUUUUUAACCAUGUCUAAGUAUGCAUAUGCUCUUUUACUCAGCUAAAAGGAAUAACAACUAGAGAAAAUCAUUUUGCAGUUACAUAGUUUAUACUUGUUCCAAUAAUAGGCAUACCAUGCGUGUAUUAGGAUGUCACUUGUCAUGACUUCUGAGCUUCUGUAACUUGAAGAAUGCAAACAACUCGCCAACCUGUGUCUCUGGAUAGGUGCAUGGGGAGUCAAAUGGAGCGGAAGUAUAGUGACUAGCCAUCUAACAAAUGGUGCAUAUAUGUUGGAGACUCUUAUUCAAGUUUCGGCUUUGUGAAGAUUUGGAUAUUUCGGCUUAUAUAUAUGUUGACAAUUUGUAUUUUGGACGAUCAAAUUAAUUAUCUAACUUUUAUUUA